CCUUUCUACGGAGAAUUGUUUUGUUGCCUGGCAUGGUGCCUGGGGGUUUGUUCCCGGGGUGCCGGGCGUGCUGGCGUGGAAGGGUCGUUGCGCCUCCCUUGUGGGGGCGGGUAUGGGCAUGCUGUUGGGUUCCCUGGCCGCCACGGCCCUUCUUGUGUGGGGGGUUGGCGUUCGGGUGCCCGCCAUGGGUUCCUUCCCGGGUGUUCCGGGUCGGGGUGUGUGGUGUGGCGUGGUGGUUUGAGAACUGGAGAGUGGACGCGAGCGGACCGCGUGGCCGCCCCUUUGGGGGGUGGCUGGUCGUGGUCUGCUUGUACUGAUGUAUUUCGACCGGGUCCCCUUUGAUGGGGGUCUGGUUGUUUGUUUGAUCGUUUUGUGAUCGCAGAGUGUUGAUGAUCUGUCGUCCGGUGUUCGUUUGGUCUUGCGGGUUCCCCGUGUGUGG
rnacentral:misc_RNA from 1 species